GAUGAACGCUUGCUACAGGCUUAACACAUGCAAGUCGAGGGGCAGCAUGGUCUUAGCUUGCUAAGGCCGAUGGCGACCGGCGCACGGGUGAGUAACACGUAUCCAACCUGCCGUCUACUCUUGGACAGCCUUCUGAAAGGAAGAUUAAUACAAGAUGGCAUCAUGAGUCCGCAUGUUCACAUGAUUAAAGGUAUUCCGGUAGACGAUGGGGAUGCGUUCCAUUAGAUAGUAGGCGGGGUAACGGCCCACCUAGUCUUCGAUGGAUAGGGGUUCUGAGAGGAAGGUCCCCCACAUUGGAACUGAGACACGGUCCAAACUCCUACGGGAGGCAGCAGUGAGGAAUAUUGGUCAAUGGGCGAGAGCCUGAACCAGCCAAGUAGCGUGAAGGAUGACUGCCCUAUGGGUUGUAAACUUCUUUUAUAAAGGAAUAAAGUCGGGUAUGGAUACCCGUUUGCAUGUACUUUAUGAAUAAGGAUCGGCUAACUCCGUGCCAGCAGCCGCGGUAAUACGGAGGAUCCGAGCGUUAUCCGGAUUUAUUGGGUUUAAAGGGAGCGUAGAUGGAUGUUUAAGUCAGUUGUGAAAGUUUGCGGCUCAACCGUAAAAUUGCAGUUGAUACUGGAUAUCUUGAGUGCAGUUGAGGCAGGCGGAAUUCGUGGUGUAGCGGUGAAAUGCUUAGAUAUCACGAAGAACUCCGAUUGCGAAGGCAGCCUGCUAAGCUGCAACUGACAUUGAGGCUCGAAAGUGUGGGUAUCAAACAGGAUUAGAUACCCUGGUAGUCCACACGGUAAACGAUGAAUACUCGCUGUUUGCGAUAUACAGCAAGCGGCCAAGCGAAAGCGUUAAGUAUUCCACCUGGGGAGUACGCCGGCAACGGUGAAACUCAAAGGAAUUGACGGGGGCCCGCACAAGCGGAGGAACAUGUGGUUUAAUUCGAUGAUACGCGAGGAACCUUACCCGGGCUUAAAUUGCAGAUGAAUUACGGUGAAAGCCGUAAGCCGCAAGGCAUCUGUGAAGGUGCUGCAUGGUUGUCGUCAGCUCGUGCCGUGAGGUGUCGGCUUAAGUGCCAUAACGAGCGCAACCCUUGUUGUCAGUUACUAACAGGUUCCGCUGAGGACUCUGACAAGACUGCCAUCGUAAGAUGUGAGGAAGGUGGGGAUGACGUCAAAUCAGCACGGCCCUUACGUCCGGGGCUACACACGUGUUACAAUGGGGGGUACAGAGGGCCGCUACCACGCGAGUGGAUGCCAAUCCCCAAAACCUCUCUCAGUUCGGACUGGAGUCUGCAACCCGACUCCACGAAGCUGGAUUCGCUAGUAAUCGCGCAUCAGCCACGGCGCGGUGAAUACGUUCCCGGGCCUUGUACACACCGCCCGUCAAGCCAUGGGAGCCGGGGGUACCUGAAGUGCGUAACCGCGAGGAGCGCCCUAGGGUAAAACUGGUGACUGGGGCUAAGUG
rnacentral:rRNA from 1 species